rnacentral:lncRNA from 1 species
UGCCCUUCUGUCCACGGGGGAGCAAACAAGCACGCAAGCAGAGAACGUGGUGCUCGCAGAAAGGCUUGGAAAUACGAAAGGUGACCAGAGGUCCCUAAAGGCUGAUAACUCCUGAGUGAAGGAUGUGAAGAAUGAAGGGAGCACAGCGGUCACGGGCUGCGUCGGCUGUGACGGUAAAAGGCUGGGGGGGGGGGCGCAGGCAAGGGAAUCAGAGGCAGUGGAAGGCGGAGAGGGGGGCAGAGACCGGAGGUGCUGUGCCAAAAGGUACGAGAGCAGGCGCGCCUUCCGUUGGGUUGUCCUUAUCCAAGGAUAAGGCACGGUUUGCGGCGCUGGGAAUCCUAGUCGACCUGUCGCUCUCAAACCCGUCGAGAGCCGUAAAAGGUUCCCCCGGCAGAGAAGGCGUAUGAAAGGGGCGCCCCGCGAGCGCGAGACCCCGGGAGACGCAGCUGAGGGUGUUCGAGCCUGGAGGCGGCUACCGCCGCAGGGGCUCCCGGGGGAGGAGACGAGGGAGGAGGGUGUGAAACGCCGGUGAGCGCGGGCCAACUCCGCAGGUAAGACGAGCGUAGGCUCCAGACAGAGGCACCUCGAGGCUGCCUGCCCCGAGGGCGCCCGAGCCACGUGAGGGGCGCCGCCAUCAGGAGCUAACCUGGGGCGGCUGCUGGGAGGUAGGCAAGGCUGGGAGAUGAGGAGAGAGGAGGGGACGGACAGCCACCAGCCAGCCGCCAGCCAGCCAGCCAGCCAGCCAACCAUUCCGCCCGCCCAGAGGGUGAGUGGGAGGCAGGAGCGGAGAUCGCUCGGGAAAGCCAGCAGGCUCAGCGCGAGGGUGCUUGCUGGUUUCGCUGGCGCGCCGCGCCGUCUUGCCCACCGCCGGUGCCAGCAGCAGCGAGAGCGAGGGCGCGGGGUUAGAGGCCCGGCAGUGGAUCGGCUCGUCCGCCUGCUGCGCUACCCUUAGUCCCGCGGAGUCGCUGCCAUGUUCGGCUGGAGCGCUCGGAAGCGCCUGUCGAGCAGAUCGUUGACCACCUUGGGUGAGCUGGAGAGAGAGCCGCCUUGCAACACCUGUGGAGACCAGUGUCCAGGCUUUGUGCUUCAUAAAUGGAGGCAAAUUGUUCCCUCCGACUGCUUUCUGAAAGCUGGGUGGCUUAGAACGUACUUGUCUCCUCUGGCCCCAAGUGCAAGAUCCGUUUGCUCAAAUCCUGCAAGAAGUGGCCAAAAUCUGAAAACAAACAAGGCAACAUACCACUGCGCAGCAGAAAAAGCUGGGAAAGUUUAUUGUACACUGUGGCACCAUUAAGGCCUGUAUAUAUGCAUGCAAUUUUAUUUUUAAACAAGUACAUUAAGAAGCGUUAAAGAUCUCAUUAAUGUGUCAAUCACAACUCCCCCACUGUUCAAAAACAUUUAAAUGUUUGGAAGCUGCUUUAUGAAUACCUAAUGGAGCCUGGCAAUUAAAC